rnacentral:lncRNA from 1 species
ACAGCUCCCACUCCCAUGUCUCUGCUCAUUUAGUCCCGUCUUCCUCACCGCCCCAGCAGGGGAACGCUCAAGCCUGGUUGAAAUGCUGCCUCUUCAGUGAAGUCAUCCUCUUUCAGCUCUGGCCGCAUUCUGCAGACUUCCUAUCUUCGUGCUGUAUGUUUUUUUUUUCCCCCUUCACUCUAAUGGACUGUUCCAGGGAAGGGAUGGGGGCAGCAGCUGCUUCGGAUCCACACUGUAUCUGUGUCAUCCCCACAUGGGUCCUCAUAAAGGAUUAUUCAAUGGAGGCAUCCU